CCUACGGGAGGCAGCAGUGGGGAAUUUUGGACAAUGGGGGCAACCCUGAUCCAGCCAUUCCGCGUGAGUGAAGAAGGCCUUCGGGUUGUAAAGCUCUUUCGCAAGGGAAGAAAACUUAUGAUCGAAUAAAUCAUGAGGUUGACGGUACCUUGAUAAGAAGCACCGGCUAACUACGUGCCAGCAGCCGCGGUAAUACGUAGGGUGCGAGCGUUAAUCGGAAUUACUGGGCGUAAAGCGUGCGCAGGCGGUUUUGUAAGUCGGAUGUGAAAUCCCCGGGCUCAACCUGGGAACUGCGUUCGAAACUGCAAGGCUAGAGUGUGUCAGAGGGGGGUAGAAUUCCACGUGUAGCAGUGAAAUGCGUAGAGAUGUGGAGGAAUACCAAUGGCGAAGGCAGCCCCCUGGGAUAACACUGACGCUCAUGCACGAAAGCGUGGGGAGCAAACAGGAUUAGAUACCCUGGUAGUCCACGCCCUAAACGAUGUCAACUAGUUGUUGGUAGAGUAAAACUCUAUGAGUAACCGUAGCUAACGCGUGAAGUUGACCGCCUGGGGGAGGUACGGUCGCGAGAGUAAACUAACAAUAGAGUAGAGCGUGAGAGUGACGACGACGACGACGAGGAGGAGG
rnacentral:rRNA from 1 species